UACGGAGGGUGCAAGCGUUAUCCGGAUUCACUGGGUUUAAAGGGUGCGUAGGCGGGUUGGUAAGUCCGUGGUGAAAUCCCCAAGCUUAACUUGGGAACUGCCGUGGAUACUAUCAAUCUUGAAUAUCGUGUAGGUAAGCGGAAUAUGUCAUGUAGCGGUGAAAUGCUUAGAUAUGACAUAGAACACCAAUUGCGUAGGCAGCUUACUACACGAUCAUUGACGCUGAGGCACGAAAGCGUGGGGAGCAAACAGG
rnacentral:rRNA from 1 species